rnacentral:sRNA from 2 species
AAACUUAGAAGGCCGAAGCUUUUUUGAAGCACGGGGGAACCAAUCUUUGGGGUGAAGUCGCGUUAUGCGCGGCCGGGUGAUUACUCUUUGAUCCGAAUCCGACAGCUAACCUCGCAGGCCACAAAAAGGAGAGGU